rfam:Pseudomonas fluorescens SBW25 complete genome
GGGUUUAACUCCUGCUUGUUACCGUUUCAUCUGGCCGGAGCCGGAUGUCGUUUUGGUGUCUGAUUCGGUAAGGAACCGGGAGCACCAUCUGCGUAGGCUUGUGGUUUAAGACUUACGUCGCCUACGGUCUUGGAUAGCCCCCGCCAGGCAGGGACCCCAAUUUUUUCAAUUGACGCGAUUUCUCGCGUCA